rnacentral:rRNA from 1 species
AAGUAAAAGUNGUAACAAGGUUUCCGUAGGUGAACCUGCGGAAGGAUCAUUAAAAAAAAAGA